UACGGAGGGUGCGAGCGUUAAUCGGAAUCACUGGGCGUAAAGCGUUCGUAGCUUGGUCGUUAAGUCUCUGGGGAAAUCUUUUGGCUUAACCGGGAUACUGCCAUUGAUACUGUAUAGCUGGAAUAUGGUUGCUGUGGGUGGAAUGUGUGGUGUAGCGGUGAAAUGCAUAGAUAUCACACAGAAUAUCGAUUGCGAAGGCAACUCACAAAGCCAUUAUUGACGCUGAUGCACGAAAGUGUGGGGAUCAAAC
rnacentral:rRNA from 1 species